CUCCUGCAUUCAAGUGAUUCUCAUGCCUCAGCCUCCCAAGCAGGUUAAUUCCCAUCAGAUAACAUCCACCACAGAAAAGGUACCAACCAAGCAGAUGGAAUGACUUAGCCAAAUAAUGUUAACCAGGCUUUGUUGCUGGCACCCCAAUGCUGGCAAAGUGAUCAAUGAACGGAGGAGCCAUGGUGGAGCAAAUGCAAGGGUUCAACGUCAUGGACUCAUCAAGUCUGAUCUAACUACUGCAUCAGUGAAUGUCCAGCUUGCCAGCAACAGAGACCAACACUUAGCCUGAUGUCACCAUUCCUCAAGGAAACCGUCUAGCCACUUGGUGGUGUUGAUGCAGAUAACUCCUCCCAAUAAACUUCCUGCAUGUGAAUCUCCAACACAGAGUGUUUUUGCCAAGAACUCAACCUAUGGCAGCAGCAAACCUCUGUGACUCAAGGAAAUCUCAGUUGGAUGUCCUGUCUCAUCUACUCAAGACCAGUAAGCAACACUUACUU
rnacentral:lncRNA from 1 species